UACGUAGGGUGCGAGCGUUAAUCGGAAUUACUGGGCGUAAAGCGUGCGCAGGCGGCUUUGCAAGACAGAUGUGAAAUCCCCGGGCUUAACCUGGGAACUGCAUUUGUGACUGCAUGGCUGGAGUGCGGCAGAGGGGGAUGGAAUUCCGCGUGUAGCAGUGAAAUGCGUAGAUAUGCGGAGGAACACCGAUGGCGAAGGCAAUCCCCUGGGCCUGCACUGACGCUCAUGCACGAAAGCGUGGGGAGCGAAACAAGG
rnacentral:rRNA from 1 species